GAUGAACGCUGGCGGCGUGCCUAAUACAUGCAAGUCGAGCGAACAGACGAGGAGCUUGCUCCUCUGACGUUAGCGGCGGACGGGUGAGUAACACGUGGAUAACCUACCUAUAAGACUGGGAUAACUUCGGGAAACCGGAGCUAAUACCGGAUAAUAUAUUGAACCGCAUGGUUCAAUAGUGAAAGACGGUUUUGCUGUCACUUAUAGAUGGAUCCGCGCCGCAUUAGCUAGUUGGUAAGGUAACGGCUUACCAAGGCAACGAUGCGUAGCCGACCUGAGAGGGUGAUCAGCCACACUGGAACUGAGACACGGUCCAGACUCCUACGGGAGGCAGCAGUAGGGAAUCUUCCGCAAUGGGCGAAAGCUUGACGGAGCAACGCCGCGUGAGUGAUGAAGGUCUUCGGGUCGUAAAACUCUGUUAUUAGGGAAGAACAAAUGUGUAAGUAACUAUGCACGUCUUGACGGUACCUAAUCAGAAAGCCACGGCUAACUACGUG
rnacentral:rRNA from 1 species